UGAGAGGAGCUUGCUCCUGGAUUCAGCGGCGGACGGUGAGUAAUGCCUAGGAAUCUGCCUGGUAGUGGGGGACAACGUUUCGAAAGGAACGCUAAUACGCAUACGUCCUACGGGAGAAAGCAGGGGACCUUCGGGCCUUGCGCUAUCAGAUGAGCCUAGGUCGGAUUAGCUAGUUGGUGAGGUAAUGGCUCACCAAGGCGACGAUCCGUAACUGGUCUGAGAGGAUGAUCAGUCACACUGGAACUGAGACACGGUCCAGACUCCUACGGGAGGCAGCAGUGGGGAAUAUUGGACAAUGGGCGAAAGCCUGAUCCAGCCAUGCCGCGUGUGUGAAGAAGGUCUUCGGAUUGUAAAGCACUUUAAGUUGGGAGGAAGGGUUGUAGAUUAAUACUCUGCAAUUUUGACGUUACCGACAGAAUAAGCACCGGCUAACUCUGUGCCAGCAGCCGCGGUAAUACAGAGGGUGCAAGCGUUAAUCGGAAUUACUGGGCGUAAAGCGCGCGUAGGUGGUUCGUUAAGUUGGAUGUGAAAUCCCCGGGCUCAACCUGGGAACUGCAUUCAAAACUGUCGAGCUAGAGUAUGGUAGAGGGUGGUGGAAUUUCCUGUGUAGCGGUGAAAUGCGUAGAUAUAGGAAGGAACACCAGUGGCGAAGGCGACCACCUGGACUGAUACUGACACUGAGGUGCGAAAGCGUGGGGAGCAAACAGGAUUAGAUACCCUGGUAGUCCACGCCGUAAACGAUGUCAACUAGCCGUUGGGAGCCUUGAGCUCUUAGUGGCGCAGCUAACGCAUUAAGUUGACCGCCUGGGGAGUACGGCCGCAAGGUUAAAACUCAAAUGAAUUGACGGGGGCCCGCACAAGCGGUGGAGCAUGUGUAAUUCGAAGCAACGCGAAGAACCUUACCAGGCUUGACAUCCAAUGAACUUUCCAGAGAUGGAUUGAUGCCUUCGGGAGCAUUGAGACAGUGCUGCAUGCUGUCGUCAGCUCGUGUCGUGAGA
rnacentral:rRNA from 1 species